CCUCAGCAUGCAGGGAGCUAGAUCCCCCAGUUGGGAUAACAUUGGAUUCCUCAGCAGGCAGAGAGCUAGGUUCCCCAGCUGGGAUUGCACUGGACUCCUUGGUAGGCUGGGGGCUGGACUCCUCAGCAGGCAGAGAGCUGGACUCCCCAGCUGGGAUUGCACUGGCCUCCUUGGUAGACUGGGGUCUGGACUCUGCAACUGGGUGAGGGCUGGGCUCCUCAGCAGGCAGAGAGCUAGAUUCCCGAGCUGGGAUAGUGCUAGACUCCGCAAUUAGCAGGCAGAGGGCUAGA